GCCGCCGUGGUCGAGAAUUGCCAUGACACCAUAAUAGUAUUUCAAGAAUAAUUUCUCCGUACAUCUGUUGGGCUUUAUUUUUCAAAUUUCGUGGUGAUGCCCUUCACCAAAAACUAAAAUUGUUUUAUAACUCGGGUAUUGAUCCAAACUAUUUUCCUCCUCAAAUACCAUAGCCCCUAACUUAGAAAAGAGCUCUUGGGUUAUACUAGUCGAAGUCCAUUCAUCCUGUAACUGGAAGAAUCGAUAUCCAAUCCCCCUAUCUGUGCCCUGUGGAUAAAUGAAUAACGUGUUAUAUCAGUACAACAUUAGUUUCAGUCAGAUCACCGAAAGGGCAUACUACUGUACUCUGCAUAUAAUAAAAAACAUUAGGAAUUUUCAAAAACAGUCUUUUGGUAUAUAUUACUCAAAUCAACUAUGAAAUGGGUAGCUUGGUUUUCUAAGGCUGAACAACGCGUAGAAAAUAUCUCAGAUAAAUUCAAAAUGGAAAUCACUGAUAAAAAACAAUGGCAUCGUUCGAGCUAUCUCAAAGUUUCUCUCCUCACCGUGUAUGGUUCGAUAUUGCAAAUUAUGGCAGUUCACUUGAUACUCAGUAUGUUUCACUCUGGAGGUUGUUUGCAUUAUGGGGUUACGAUGAGUAUUUUCAUACUCGUUUUUACAAAGAUUGUCCCAUAUGCUCUAUUUACGUUAAAAAAAGACUCGAAAUAUCCAUCUAUAAUUUUUUAUGCAUUUGGCGUUACUCAACUAACAAUGGUCGGUGUGCUAUUUCUUCUAAUGAACAGGGUGGACUCAUUUUUCGGAACACCUAUAGUUAUGGGUUGUGAUAAUAAAAUUCAAGUUCUCACGUCAGUACUUUAUUACUUUAAUUUAAUAUCACUAUCCGCAUGGGCAACAUGGAUACAUCUAAGUAAGAAAAAUUCUACUAGUAAUGAUUACAAUCUAAAAAACAACAUGAGUUACCAAAUAUCUCCGAAAAGAAAGCUUAUAACGUAUGAAAAUACAUGAUUGUGGUCAAUUUAAUGUAUUAUAGACUGGCUAAUAAAAUUAUA